rnacentral:rRNA from 1 species
UGGGGAAUAUUGCACAAUGGGCGCAAGCCUGAUGCAGCCAUGCCGCGUGUGUGAAGAAGGCCUUCGGGUUGUAAAGCACUUUCAGCGGGGAGGAAGGCGAUAAGGUUAAUAACCUUGUCGAUUGACGUUACCCGCAGAAGAAGCACCGGCUAACUCCGUGCCAGCAGCCGCGGUAAUACGGAGGGUGCAAGCGUUAAUCGGAAUUACUGGGCGUAAAGCGCACGCAGGCGGUCUGUCAAGUCGGAUGUGAAAUCCCCGGGCUCAACCUGGGAACUGCAUUCGAAACUGGCAGGCUAGAGUCUUGUAGAGGGGGGUAGAAUUCCAGGUGUAACGGUGAAAUGCGUAGAGAUCUGGAGGAAUACCGGUGGCGAAGGCGGCCCCCUGGACAAAGACUGACGCUCAGGUGCGAAAGCGUGGGGAGCAAACAGG